AGGGAAUGUGUUCUGCCUAUGGGAAGUAUAAUUUGAGUAUACGGCUUAGCCUGUUAGCCACCAGUUUUAGGUUCUAGGAGGUUGGCUUCCCGUUUUGCCUUUUUUGGGGGGUACCGGGGAUCGAACUCGGGUCCUUGCGCUUGCGGAGCAGGCGACAGAACCACUGAGCUAAAUCCCUGGCCUGGUUUGCUUUUAUCUAGGUUGACCAGUGACAACCAUUUGUUGUCAUUGCUCAUUUAGAGGAGAGCCUUAUUUUGGCAAAAGGACAACAACACAGAACAAGAUGAGGACUUGGAAAGUGUGUCCUAUCAGGAGGGUAACUAACUCCCUGAGAACAAUCAGCAAGGACUUAACGUCAUCACUGUCUAACAGACAGGACAUCUAGCACCAGGAGCCUUAAUAAUGGGAUGGAAGACAAGCGACUUUGUUCCACAGCAGAUGUGCACCAACAGGAAAUGAAUCCACUCUUAAGACUCAAGCAAAGUAUCCCUUGCUGCCUGAGAAAGGAAGCUAUUUGGGGCUUAGAGUGGAGGCU
rnacentral:lncRNA from 1 species